rfam:Peptoanaerobacter stomatis strain OBRC8 ctg120007290643, whole genome shotgun sequence.
UACUCUAUCCAUUUGGAGUAAUCCUACCAUAGACCGCUUAACUGGUAACGGUUUCGUUGGUGAGCCUAUGGGACAAUACAGAAAAUCUAACAGCCUAAGUUGGACGUACUG